rfam:Neotoma lepida isolate 417 scaffold_15302, whole genome shotgun sequence.
GAAAUUAAGGGAGAUUUGGCUGACAUCUGUCACCCUAUUGCAUUUCAGGCUGAUUCAGCUGUUUUGGCUGUACUGUGUCUCCUUUGUUUCUUAAUACUCCAGGUGCUUCUGUUCCAAAGAAGCAUGCUUAGCUUGAUAAGGACAAGUUUUUCUUUUAGAGGAGGAUGGUCAUAGAUAAAGGAUAUAUGAAUAGCUCAACUAUUCUGUUGAAACCUCCAAACACAUUCUCAAGAAAUACUCUCAUGUUACUGCAUGCUUGUUCCCACUUCCAUGUCUCACUCACAU